UAGGGAAUCUUCGGCAAUGGACGAAAGUCUGACCGAGCAACGCCGCGUGAGUGAAGAAGGUUUUCGGAUCGUAAAACUCUGUUGUUAGAGAAGAACAAGGACGUUAGUAACUGAACGUCCCCUGACGGUAUCUAACCAGAAAGCCACGGCUAACUACGUGCCAGCAGCCGCGGUAAUACGUAGGUGGCAAGCGUUGUCCGGAUUUAUUGGGCGUAAAGCGAGCGCAGGCGGUUUCUUAAGUCUGAUGUGAAAGCCCCCGGCUCAACCGGGGAGGGUCAUUAGAAGCUGGGAGACUUGAGUGCAGAAGAGGAGAGUGGAAUUCCAUGUGUAGCGGUGAAAUGCGUGGAUAUAUGGAGGAACACCAGUGGCGAGGGCGGCUCUCUGGUCUGUAACUGACGCUGAGGCACGAAGGCGUGGGGAGCAAACAGG
rnacentral:rRNA from 1 species